GGGGAUUGGGGACUUGCUGGGUGUUCUGUACUUUGUGGUUGUGAUGGUUGUGUUGUUUCUGUUGGUUCUAUGAUGGGUGGAAGUAAAGGGUAGACUUUUUGUUGUGCCCCAAUUCACGAAAGAUGCUACAUUUCUUUCUAUGGCCACUAACACUCAUCUGGGUCCCAUCCUUGGUUAGCUCUCAUGGCUCCAAUCUUCUUUUUUUCUUUGGCCUCCC
rnacentral:lncRNA from 1 species